GAUCCUGCUCAGGAUGAACGCUAGCUACAGGCUUAGCACAUGCAAGUCGAGGGGCAUCAGUUUGGUUUGCUUGCAAACCAAAGCUGGCGACCGGCGCACGGGUGAGUAACACGUAUCCAACCUGCCUCAUACUCGGGGAUAGCCUUUACGAAAGAAAGAUUAAUAUCCGAUAGCAUAUAUUUCCCGCAUGGGUUUUAUAUUAAAGAAAUUCGGUAUGAGAUGGGGAUGCGUUCCAUUAGUUUGG
rnacentral:rRNA from 1 species